rnacentral:rRNA from 1 species
AGGAUUCCCCUAGUAACUGCGAGUGAAGCGGGAAAAGCUCAAAUUUAAAAUCUGGCGGUCUUCGGCCGUCCGAGUUGUAAUCUGGAGAAGCGUUUUCCGCGCUGGACCGUGUACAAGUCUCUUGGAACAGAGCGUCAUAGAGGGUGAGAAUCCCGUCUUUGACACGGACUACCAGUGCUAUGUGAUGCGCUCUCGAUGAGUCGAGUUGUUUGGGAAUGCAGCUCAAAAUGGGUGGUAAAUUCCAUCUAAAGCUAAAUAUUGGCGAGAGACCGAUAGCGAACAAGUACCGUGAGGGAAAGAUGAAAAGCACUUUGGAAAGAGAGUUAAACAGUACGUGAAAUUGCUGAAAGGGAAACGAUUGAAGUCAGUCGCGUGUGCUAGAACUCAGCCUUGCUUUUGCUUGGUGCAUUUUCUAGUGUACGGGCCAGCAUCAGUUUUGGCCGCCGGAAAAAGGCCUUGGGAAUGUGGCACCUUCGGGUGUGUUAUAGCCCUUGGUUGUAUACGGUGGCUGGGACUGAGGAACAUAGCAUGCCUUUACGGCGGGGCUUCGGCCACCUUCAUGCUUUGGAUGCUGGCGUAAUGGCUUUAAACGACCCGUCUUGAAACACGGACCAAGGAGUCUAACAUGCCUGCGAGUGUUUGGGUGGAAAACCCGAGCGCGUAAUGAAAGUGAAAGUUGGGACUUCUGUCGUGGAAGGCACCGACGCCCGGACCAGACCUUCUGUGACGGAUCCGCGGUAGAGCAUGUAUGUUGGGACCCGAAAGAUGGUGAACUAUGCCUGAAUAGGGUGAAGCCAGAGGAAACUCUGGUGGAGGCUCGUAGCGAUUCUGACGUGCAAAUCGAUCGUCAAAUUUGGGUAUAGGGGCGAAAGACUAAUCG